rnacentral:pre_miRNA from 1 species
AUUCGUUCCUCAGCGCCCUCGGAACCCGAUUGUGUCUAGUGUUCUGUGAUUACGAAGCAUGAGCACUAGGUACUCUCAGGUCCCGAGCGGAGGAACCGAA